AUUGAACGCUGGCGGCAGGCCUAACACAUGCAAGUCGAACGGUAACAGGAAGAAGCUUGCUUCUUUGCUGACGAGUGGCGGACGGGUGAGUAAUGUCUGGGAAACUGCCUGAUGGAGGGGGAUAACUACUGGAAACGGUAGCUAAUACCGCAUAACGUCGCAAGACCAAAGAGGGGGACCUUCGGGCCUCUUGCCAUCGGAUGUGCCCAGAUGGGAUUAGCUAGUAGGUGGGGUAACGGCUCACCUAGGCGACGAUCCCUAGCUGGUCUGAGAGGAUGACCAGCCACACUGGAACUGAGACACGGUCCAGACUCCUACGGGAGGCAGCAGUGGGGAAUAUUGCGCAAUGGGCGAAAGCCUGAUGCAGCCAUGCCGCGUGUAUGAAGAAGGCCUUCGGGUUGUAAAGUACUUUCAGCGGGGAGGAAGGGAGUAAAGUUAAUACCUUUGCUUAUUGACGUUACCCGCAGAAGAAGCGCCGGCUAACUCCGUG
rnacentral:rRNA from 1 species